rnacentral:rRNA from 1 species
GUGAACGCUGGCGGCGUGCCUAAUACAUGCAAGUCGAGCGAACUGAUUAGAAGCUUGCUUCUAUGACGUUAGCGGCGGACGGGUGAGUAACACGUGGGCAACCUGCCUGUAAGACUGGGAUAACUUCGGGAAACCGAAGCUAAUACCGGAUAGGAUCUUCUCCUUCAUGGGAGAUGAUUGAAAGAUGGUUUCGGCUAUCACUUACAGAUGGGCCCGCGGUGCAUUAGCUAGUUGGUGAGGUAACGGCUCACCAAGGCAACGAUGCAUAGCCGACCUGAGAGGGUGAUCGGCCACACUGGGACUGAGACACGGCCCAGACUCCUACGGGAGGCAGCAGUAGGGAAUCUUCCGCAAUGGACGAAAGUCUGACGGAGCAACGCCGCGUGAGUGAUGAAGGCUUUCGGGUCGUAAAACUCUGUUGUUAGGGAAGAACAAGUACAAGAGUAACUGCUCGUACCUUGACGGUACCUAACCAGAAAGCCACGGCUAACUACGUGCCAGCAGCCGCGGUAAUACGUAGGUGGCAAGCGUUAUCCGGAAUUAUUGGGCGUAAAGCGCGCGCAGGCGGUUUCUUAAGUCUGAUGUGAAAGCCCACGGCUCAACCGUGGAGGGUCAUUGGAAACUGGGGAACUUGAGUGCAGAAGAGAAAAGCGGAAUUCCACGUGUAGCGGUGAAAUGCGUAGAGAUGUGGAA